rnacentral:rRNA from 1 species
AACGAACGCUGGCGGCAUGCCUAACACAUGCAAGUCGAACGAGAUCUUCGGGUCUAGUGGCGCACGGGUGCGUCACGCGUGGGAAUCUGCCCUUUGGUUCGGAAUAACAGUUGGAAACGACUGCUAAUACCGGAUGAUGACGAAAGUCCAAAGAUUUAUCGCCAGAGGAUGAGCCCGAGUAGGAUUAGCUAGUUGGUGUGGUAAAGGCGAACCAAGGCGACGAUCCUUAGCUGGCCGGAGAGGAUGAUCAGCCACACUGGGACUGAGACACGGCCCAGACUCCUACGGGAGGCAGCAGUAGGGAAUAUUGGACAAUGGGCGAAAGCCUGAUCCAGCAAUGCCGCGUGAGUGAUGAAGGCCUUAGGGUUGUAAAGCUCUUUUACCCGGGAUGAUAAUGACAGUACCGGGAGAAUAAGCUCCGGCUAACUCCGUGCCAGCCGCCGCCGUAA